rnacentral:lncRNA from 1 species
UCGGUUUGUUUACUGUAUAGACUCCUUUGUCUUAUUUUUGAGAUUCCACACAUAAGUGAUAUCAUGUAUUUGUCCUUAUCCGACUGGAUUUAGUUGAAUAAUCCCUCGAUCCACCCAUGUCUUGCAAAAGCCAUUGUUUCGUUCCUUUUUAUGGCUAAGCAGUAAUCCAUUGUGUGUGUAUGUGUGUCUAUCUAUACCACAUUCUUUAAAAUGUGUUAUUAUAGUUGACUUAGAGUGUUGUGUCCACUUCUGCUGUACAGCAAAGCAACCAACUCAUACAUGUAUAUACACAUUCCCUUUCUCAUAUUCUCUUCCAUCCUGGUCUGUCCCUGGAUAGAGUUCCCUGUGCUGCACAGCAGGACCUCAUGGCUGAUCCAUUCUCAAUGUCCUAGUUUGCAUCUACAAACCCCACACUCCCUGUCCAGCCCACUCCCUGCCCCUCCCCCUUGACAACCACAAGUCUGGUCUCUGUGGGAGUCGGUUUGUGUUCUGUAGGCAGGUUCAUUUGUGCCAUAUUUCAGAUUCCACCUAGAAUUGAUCUCAUGUGGUGUUUGUCGUCUUCUGUCUGACUGACUUUUCUUAGAAUCUCUAGGUCCAUCCAUGUUGCCGCAAAUGGCAUGAUUUCCUUCUUUUUAUGGGGGAGUAGUAUUCCAUUGAGUGUAUGGACCACAUCUUCCUAAUCCGUUCCUCCAUCGAUGGACAUCUAGGUUGCUGCCAUGUCUUGGUUAUUAUAAACGGGGCUGCUGCGAACAUCGGCGUGCAUGGAUCUUUUCUAAGUAAGGUUUUCAUUUUUUCUGGAUAGAUGUCCAGGAGUGGGCUUGCUGGGUCAUAGGAGAGCUCAAGUUUACAUUAGUAAAGGACCCUCCAUACUGUUCUCCAUACUGGCUGCACAGCUGACCGCCACCCCGCCCCAGCCGUGUAGGAGGCUUCCCUUUCCCCGCACUGAGAGAGGGGCCUUCUCCAUCACCACUGAGCCUUUCUGCAGGCUGCUGGGGCCCACAGUGCCUCUCCAAAAAGCUGAGGAAGAGCAGUGAGACUCUCCGUGGUCCAGUGGUUAUGCAGAAGCCGUGGGAGGUGUGGGAAGACAGCUCUGCAAGUGACAUUCUGGGGGGGCCAGGAGGGUGCAUCGGAAAGCGUGGGGAGCUGCUGGGGGCUGGGGUGUGACAGUGCUGUGAGCAGGCCAGGCUCAGGAUUUAGCAGAAAGACACAUCUGGGAUUUUCAUGCCAAACAUCCACAUGAGCCUUGCAAAGAGCAAGGAUUUCAUCUGGUCCAAAGACAAUGGGAUUAAGGAUUAAAGGAAGAGCAUUGCAGAAAAUGCUAGUGAGCAAAACCCCAGAAUGCAGAGCACAGUCCUUUUAAAAAGCAGUUUUACUGUCGCGUAAUGAGGGGAGUGUGUGUGUGUCCAUGUGUCAGGGGUUUAUGGUGGGACGAGAGACAGAGGCAGAGAAAUCUCGGGGCUGGACGGGGCGUGAUCUGCGGGAAGGACACAGGUGCUUUCAUUCUAAGUGAAACGUAUGCAAUUCAUAAAAUAGCAUCUUAUCAAUAUCUCUGUGCUCUGUCAUCAAUCCGUAUGAUUCUCCUUUGGGUCCAGGGGUCUCAGCUUAUUACAAUAAGCUUUAUAAUCAUUUUUAUUAAUUUAUUUUUUUGCUCGCACCUGAGGCAUGUGGAAGUUCCCUCGCCAGGCAUGGAAGCCUCGUCCCAACAGUGACCUGAGCCGCUGCAGUGACAAUGCCAGAUCUGUAACCUCUAGGCUGCCAGGGGACUCCAGCUUUAUGAUAUGAGGACACGCAGACAUGGGUGUUGGUGAGCGGAGGCGGCUGAAACAGAACUCCCAAGCCUGGGCGGCUCCAACUGUGGAAAUUUCUAUCCCACUCUCCUGGAGGCUGGGAGUCCAUGUUCACAGCGGGGGGAGAUUGCGUUCCUGGUGAGGCUCUCUUGUUGGCAUGCAGCUGCCCCCUUCUCCCUGUGUCCAGGGCGGGGUCAGGGGAGAGAGAGGUGGUGUUUCCUCUUCCUAAUUGCAUCAGAUCAGAGCUUCCUGCUUAUAACCUCAUUGCACACUAAUUGCUUCUCUGCCACCAAAACAGCUCCUCAGGGGGUUAGGGCUUCAGCAUAUGAAUUGAGGGGACAAAUCCCUGGGGACUGGCCUUGAGAUAAACCCUCAGGAAUGUCGGGGCCCAGCGGGGUGCCUCUGCUCCCUCUUCUCAUUGUAGUUUCAAAGGGGAACUGAGAACCCGAGAGGGGCACAUGCCACCUGCCUCUAAAGGGACUGAGCCCUGAGCCACUGCAGCUGCCCAUCCCCCAACACUCCCUGAAAGGGGCUCGGGGUGGAGACCAGGAGUGAGGACUCUGAGCUCUGGGAAAACUGGAAGAAGAGGCUUCAGAGAGUCAGAUAUUACUAGGAGAAGACUUUAUGUGCCCCAUUCUUGCAUCUCUUCCUAUCUCAAAAAACACUAAACUCCUUCGUGGUGAUGUCUGCUCCUUGGGACUGGUCGUGACCUUCAGGAGAUCAGCCACAAACUUCUGUAGAAUGUGUGUGUGCUGCAGGCCCCUCCCCCUCCGCUUGAUCACAUCCUGCUGUUCCCCCUUUUCCUCCCUGGGUGGUAUUUCCGCAGGUCUGUAGCUAAGGAUGAAGAAUGUCAGGGUCAUCUGGGAAUCAGUCACCUCCAGGGGUGAGAGCAGGUGAGUCCUGCAGGCUGUGCACACUCAGGAUCCUGCCCUGAGAGCAGAGGUGCACAUCAAAGGAAGGAAGCUGAGGGUGGGUUCAGUUCAAAAAUACUGGGAAAUAUAUACCCCACCAGUGGAGACACUGGGACUCGACUACAAGCUGUUGCAUUUGGCUCAGUUGAAAGAAACAGGGGUCUGGACUGAGUGUUCAGGUAAGAGGCUGACCUGAUGCUUUUCCUCAGUUCAGCUGCCUUCAUGGACGUUGUCAGGAUAAAGGUGAAGGCUUAUUUGAGAGCCUUUGCUCCCAAGAAAAGGGAGGAGACUCACUGGGCUGGCUCUGGUUUUCUCAGGUGCUUGAGAAAUUUAACGGGGUGGUGGAAGUGUCCUCAGGCCCUGCAGUGGCCCCACAGGGAAAGCCACUCCUUCAUUCAAACCUGCUCAGAGGAGGACUCAAUAAGAAAUGGCCAUGUGGCCCAUCUGAGCACCCGUGGGGGUGUCCUAGGUGCCACUGGGAGACCCAAGACACGUAAGAGGGGCCUAAAACAACCCUGGGCAAAGCCUAGAGGAGUUAGGCUCUCAAGCAGCCCUGGCCCACCACACAAGGGCCCCAGUAGAUUUUAUCCCUGACAGAUUCAAAUUCAAACAAAAUAAGAGGGGCAGGUGUCAGAAAACCAGCCUCCAACAAACACCUCAGGCAGGUUUACAAGUACAUAGUUUAUUGGGUAAUAAAGAAAAAGAAUUGCCCUGAAAAUAGCUACAAUGAGCUCUUUUAUUAGCUAUGCAGGUAUUGAAAUACAUUUUUAAAAAAUCCUUUCAAAAUUUUGCCCUGGGGGGACAAAUCUCACUAGGAGAAGGUGCUUCCUCUCCUGGAGCCUUGAGACCAGGCUCCCAGGACACUUAUCUCACCCAGACCUUCUCUAACUAUUGAGGCGGAAGGGACAACAUGGGAAAGAAAUGUUUAAAACUUAUUCCGACUGUUAUUUUAAAUGAGUGAGUUUUUACUUGUGACAUCUAACUCGUGACUCAGCUUGGAAAAUGAAUUUAUGAGAUCUCUGGUUAUGUCUCUCUGUUUGUAUGUGCAUUUAUAUGUCUUUAUUUAGUGGUAUUAUCGAAAAUAAUUUGUAAGGGAGCUCUACGUAAUUGGCUUAAAGGAAAUUGAGCACUUAUGGAAAUGCUCUACAAAAGGUAACGGGCCAGGAUUAAUUUUAGAUUAUUGGGAACUGGGAACCAUUCCAUGUUGAGUUCAUAUCUGAUAUGAACAUUGAAGUCCAUUGAUACAAGUAAUAGACAUGUCUUCAGAGUCAUCAACAUUAAGUAGAACACCUUUAUUGUACCUGGGAUAAGAGACGUCUAAUAAGAUCUUGUUACAUCUGUUGCAAAAUUAUUCGCAAGAAAAAAUAACUUGGUACCAUGAGAUGUUUAUAAGGCAAUUAAAUGCACGUGAGAUAAGAGCUUUUGGAUAAACGUUCAGAAAUAGUUAUCUUAAAAAUGUCUACUUAAGAAUGCACUCUCCAGAUAUUGGUACUGUGCAAAUUAGAAUUGUGCUUGAUUGUUAAAUGAUCAAAUUUUUUGAGGAGCUAGGUCGUUCCCAAAUAACUAAGAAACUGAGACAUUAAUUACUGCACAGAGACACUAAAGGCACAAAGGAUGGUUCUGAGCCACCCUGAGGUGUUCUCCCCGACACAAGCAAACACACAAAACGCAUGUUUUUUGAAAUUAUGAAAGACUUGUCCAUGGUUACUUUAGGGAACUGGGAACUAUUGCAGGAUAUGUGUUUUCAGGAAAGAAGGAAUGAGGAAUGGAGUUCUCGUUCCUCAAGGGAAAAGAAGAGGAAGUCUGUCUGUUGCUUGUUGUUUGGAAUGGAAACCAGGGGACAAACCAAUGGAUACAGAAACUGCUGGGAGGUUUGUGGGAAGUGGACACGGAGGGAAGGGUUGCAGUGUCAGAACCAUGCUUAGAGGGAGCUGAACUGAGUGAAUCGAUUUUAUAAUAAGCAGGUGCAAAACUUGACCUUGGCUUCCUUUGCUGAGAGAACAAAGUUUCCUUGGAAUGCUACUUUGAUAACAGAUUAUAUAACAGAACGUUCUUUUAAGUGAUCUGCUGUGUUUGCUUUUGCAAUCGCUUGUAACGUUGGUUAAGGAAAAAGGAUUCUCCACAGCAACCUAUGAUUCUAUCUGACC